rnacentral:Y_RNA from 1 species
GGUUGGUCCGAAGGCAGUGGGGUCACAAAUGAAUGCUACAGUCAGUUGCACCUAGUGCGAAAACUUACCUGUCUCUCCUUCCUUCCUCACUGUCGGACAUUGACCAACCUUUU